CAGUAGCCACGGUAAUACGUAGGGUGCGAGCGUUGUCCGGAAUUACUGGGCGUAAAGAGCUCGUAGGUGGUUUGUCGCGUUGUUCGUGAAAACCGGAGGCUUAACCUCUGGCGUGCGGGCGAUACGGGCAGACUUGAGUACUGCAGGGGAGACUGGAAUUCCUGGUGUAGCGGUGGAAUGCGCAGAUAUCAGGAGGAACACCGGUGGCGAAGGCGGGUCUCUGGGCAGUAACUGACGCUGAGGCUCGAAAGCGUGGGGAGCAAACAGGAUUAGAUACCCCUGUAGUCCCUGUCUCUUUACA
rnacentral:rRNA from 1 species